ACAGACGGUAACAUUAACAUUUUGAUUUUAACAUUAACACUUUAGUUGGAGAGACUAGUUAUGUACUUGUAGUGGUAAUAAUACAAGUUGUCAUGAACCAUAACUGUUUGGGGAUGUUCUCUCAACUAGAUAGUUAGUUAUCAUACCUAGCGAUAGCGUAGUUCGCUAGAUAGAUAGCUAUCUGUAAGCAGCUACAUUGGAGCAGACAUAUGUGUUUUUUUCGGUAUAUUGAUUUGGGAGUGGGGUCUCCCACACUGUUUAAUCCACCGCCGGCACCUUUCCUCCUGUGUUUUGGGCUUUGGAAAUGCGGGGGAAAAACGACGCAUCCCUCUAAUCUCUGUAUCAGAUCUAUAAGUCCCGUAGGCACCCUGUUUCACCAUGCUGCUCAGACCUCAAAGUUGUCGGACCUUCUUCUCUUAGUAGCGGUUGCUAAGGUAUGAUUGGAUGAGGGCCGUUCUAGGGAGGAGUUUCGCGAUCGGUCAAUUCCAUAUGGAAUGCAAGAGCGUGUGAAAUGUAGUUCUCUCCUCACUACUGUUAGAUAUUGGUGUGUUUCACAUACCAGCCCAUAUCAUUAGACUUCCUGACCCUAACCCAUAUCAAUAGACCCCCUGACCCUAACCCUCCGUUUGAAUAACACCAGGGGUCUGGAGCCAGAGCCAUUAGACUGGAUUCCUGGCCUUUGUCUACAGCCAUGACCAGAUAAUAAACAAAACAAGUAAACAAAUAAACAAGAUAGAUAAACAAAACUUAAUUUGCCCCCCUUGUCAAAAGGUCCCGAGUAGCCCACAAACUGUAGUCCUGGCAGUUUUGAAUAAAUAUUAUAUCAUAUUAGACUGAAUGAAUGACCUAACUUAGAGCUCUGUAUAUUAUUUGUAUUCAUUUCAAAUGACUUAUAAGAUCACUGUUGAAAAAAGCACUCAUAUACAUGUACUAAAAAAAUAUAACAUUGCAGUUAUUGUGGAGAUUAUUGUGGUAAACCUGAUUGGGUUCAGUGGCUGAGUAGCCCUGGACUGUGACUCAUUCAGAAUUCAGAUUAAUGAUCCAUGUUUGUGUUCAUUUGAUCAAAGUCAUUAUACAGUGUAGGCCUAUGUCGUGUGUUCCACCAGUGUAGGCCUAUGUCAUGUGUUCCACCAAUGGUGCUGGACAGUGACUGACUUGCUGUUAUGAAAAGGGAAAUAAACCCAGAGAAUUAAAGAACACAGGCAGUGUUUAAUAGUAAGCUAUUAGGAGGAGUAGGCCUAGACGUCCACUAAAAAGCCCAAGAGUCACAGAAACACACGGACAUAUCAGCUUCAUUUCACAUCACACAUAAUUCAGAUGAUGCAUUACCUCUGUCCCUCUGGAGCGUCUCCUGGUGUUUCCAUUGCUCAGCUUCUCUUCAUGGACACACUACUGGCUUCAGUAGAAAUGAGGAAUCAAAACAUUAAUGUAUCAAAAACACAUUACAUUUCCCACAAAUAAAGACACUAGCUGCCUAUCUGUUGAAAGGUAUCUGUGACCAUACCUGCAUAAAAGUCUCGUGAUAUAGGGGUACGCUUCCCUAACUCCCAGCAAAAACUACGGCCGAUAAGAACGUACCUUUAUUUUCUUCUUUUUGAUCUUAGAAAUGAAUGAUUUCAAUAAUAAAAAAAGCACUGUUAAAUAGCACCUCCCCCACUUUCCUGAUUGAUUCCUUGCCUUGACUGCUACCUGCACUACCGAUGUAAUAAUACAUUUAUACUGACACUGACACAAGAUUGGCGCCUGCACUCGCUAAACAUUCUGACAAUGGCUUUUAAAAUACUGAUGAGGAGAUGACAUUUAGAGGAGCAGAAAGGGAGGUCAAGCAGACAUGGUGUUCAGGUUGUUACCUGGUUAAAACAGGUCAAGCAGACAUGGUGUUCAGGUUGUUACCUGGUUAAAACAGGUCAAGCAGACAUGGUGUUCAGGUUGUUACCUGGUUAAAACAGGUCAAGCAGACAUGGUGUUCAGGUUGUUACCUGGUUAAAACAGUCAUACGGCAGUUUGUAAAGAGUUCUCACAGAGAAGCGGUAGGGCUGAAGUGCCAAGUACCAGUGAGAGACUUUGGCAUUGUGGUCAGGGUGCAGGUUUAGUACCCCAUAGUCCUGGGUUCAAGGCCAGGGGUCACAACAUACUUCUUGUCAGCCAUGUUGUACUGUGUGAGGGCCUUUAAGGAUCCCGGGUACAGCAUGCAGCACGUGUCAUAUCCUGCCACCCUCGCUAUUCUUGUGCAACUAAUAUUCCCAUGCCCCAUGUCAGCCAACAUAACGCAUCAAAACUAAACACAUAUCAAAUUCCCAACAUCAAUACAAUUGAGCUAGGAGGGUCUUUACGGAUCCCGGGUACAGCAUGCCGUACGUGUUGCAGCUGUCGCCACUCAGUUGUGCACUGUUGUUGUAUCGUGCCACCCUUGCCAUCCUUGUAGAACUAAAACUGUCAUGCACCAUGCCAAUCAACCAUAACUAAACAUAACUCAUCAAAACUAAACAUAAACAAAAUUCCCAUAGACUGAUACAAUAUCAUUAAAGUGAUAAAUAUUGCAGAAAAUACGAUUAAUCUGACUCCAUUAAAUAUUAAAUUAUCUACAGUAUUACCAAACAGUAUAUACGCCAAUUGAGAGAUCUUAAUUAAGGUAAUGGCAUGGCACACGAGGAGUUAUAUGGUGGUUAAUGUACAGUUAAUUAAUACAAUAAACUGAAUGUACUAUAUAACCCAAAUGAAUAAGUACAACUGUAAAUGAUAGCAAGUUAAUACAUUCAGUAUGUUGGAUACCAAUGAGAACAGAUUCCCUUAAAUUACCAAAUAAACCUGAAUGCAUG
ensembl:lncRNA